rnacentral:rRNA from 1 species
GCUUACCUACCCUUGACAUGGUCGGAAUCCUGAAGAGAUUUGGGAGUGCUCGAAAGAGAACCGGCGCACAGGUGCUGCAUGGCUGUCGUCAGCUCGUGUCGUGAGAUGUUGGGUUAAGUCCCGCAACGAGCGCAACCCUUGUCAUUAGUUGCUACGAAAGGGCACUCUAAUGAGACUGCCGGUGACAAACCGGAGGAAGGUGGGGAUGACGUCAAGUCCUCAUGGCCCUUAUGGGUAGGGCUUCACACGUCAUACAAUGGUACAUACAGAGGGCCGCCAACCCGCGAGGGGGAGCUAAUCCCAGAAAGUGUAUCGUAGUCCGGAUUGUAGUCUGCAACUCGACUACAUGAAGUUGGAAUCGCUAGUAAUCGCGGAUCAGCA